GCGCCCGUAGCUCAGCUGGAUAGAGUGUCGGCCUCCGAAGCCGAAGGUCGCAGGUUCGACUCCUGCCGGGCGCGCCA
rnacentral:tRNA from 1 species